GGGGAUGUAGUUCAGUGGUAGAGUGCAUGCUUAGCAUGCAUGGGGCCCUCAGUUCAAUCCCUAGCACCUCCA
rnacentral:tRNA from 1 species